rfam:Pterocles gutturalis contig32278, whole genome shotgun sequence.
GGGGAUGUAGCUCAGCGGGAGAGCACUUGCUUUGCAUGUAAGAGGCCCUGGGUUCAACCCCCAGCAUCUCCA